UNGGUAGUCUAUGAGCUACAGAUGGAAACCU
rnacentral:piRNA from 1 species